rnacentral:rRNA from 1 species
AAUAUUGGACAAUGGGGGCAACCCUGAUCCAGCCAUGCCGCGUGCGUGAAGAAGGUCUUCGGAUUGUAAAGCACUUUAAUUUGGGAGGAAGGGCUUUAGGCUAAUACCCUGAAGUUUUGACGUUACCUACCGAAUAAGCACCGGCUAACUCUGUGCCACCAGCCGCGGUGAUACAGAGGGUGCAAGCGUUAGUCGGAAUUACUGGGCGUAAAGCGCGCGUAGGUGGUUCAGUAAGAUGGGUGUGAAAUCACCGGGCUUAACCUGGGAACUGCUUUCAUAACUGCUGAGCUAGAGUACAGUAGAGGGUAGUGGAAUGUCCUGUGUAGCGGUGAAAUGCGUAGAGAUAGGAAGGAACGCCAGUGGCGAAGGCGACUACCUGGACUGAUACUGACACUGAGGUGCGAAAGCGUGGGGAGCAAACA